GGGGGUGUUAUAGAUUCGACUUGUACGCUAGAAAAGGUUAAGCAUACCGAAGGGCUCGUCUUCGUAAAAACGGAAAACUAAAAUUAAACGCUGAAAAUAAUAAUUUUGAGCUAGCUGCCGCGUAAGGCAGCCGUCGUAUAAAGAAGGUCCACGGUCUUUAUGUCGGCGUCGGUUAGUGGAGAACGAUAUUUGUUAACGUCUCGUAGCAAAUAUUGAAUUAGAGACUAGACAGAGGGUAAGUUUUGCUUGAUUGACAAUCCCUCGUGACCAAUACUCAAUCAUGAUAAGUAUGUAGAAAGACUUUUUUGAAUGUAUAAGAACAGGAGUGCAAGUCUCCUCAUCUCCACCA
rnacentral:tmRNA from 1 species